UCAGAUUUCAGAGUUGGAUUGGUGUUGCUGCUGACCAGUUUCCACGGCCUGGCCAGAUGGCAGAUGCAAACAAGGUGUUAUUCCGGGCUACAGCGCUGAUCCGUACUUGGUCCUUACUCACUCCGACGGAGGCCAGGGAGCGUUUGGUUACUGGAUCUGUCCGGUGGGAGACGGUAGCGCGGGAUAUCUUCAACCGGUUUGGAUGACGAUCAUGUAAUAGGAUAGGCAUUUAGUUUACCUAUCUGCUAUUAUGCCAGCCGGUUGUGGCUUUUCUCAUUUCUGCUUUGCAGUCGAUGCUCUAUGUGAGCUAUAGGCUGCCUUUGUUCCUUUUUUUGAAAGACCAUUGUUCAGACCCUGUUUACUUGUUUAAUAAGAGAGGCCAUAUGCAUCGAUCUGAUGCAGAGGCCGGGGAAUCCCCCCUUUUCUAAAAAAAAAUCUUUGGCGUAUUUUUUUUCAGAGUAUUGAUGUUGGAGAUGAGCCUAAGUGGAGAAAGAUUAAACAUAUGGUUGCCAGGUGAUCUAAAAUGGGACUGAACUUCAGUGCCGUAAUUGCACCUGCAGUUGGGCCAAUGACAUGUGGGCCUAACAGACGGCUGGCCCACAUGCCAUUGACCCACCUGCAGGUGCAGUUACGGCACCCAAGCAGCGUCCUCUAAAAUGGUGGAUCAGAAAUGUUCUUCAUCAAUGCCCUCUGAAUUGCUAACAAUUCUGUUUGCACACUCAGUUUGCAAAAUGGUAGGUAAGGAACUACAGAAAGUGGAUUGUUGAGUUUGCAAAAUGGUAGGUAAUGAACUACAGAAAGUGGAUUGUUGAGUUUGUCAAGCAUAAUGUCGCACCUAAUUUUGGCAGAUCACUUGGCUUUGAGAUUUUCGCAUGACUAUAUGAGGUUCCCAUAAACUCCUGUAUUGCCACAAUAGCUUCUUUUAAUGCACUAGAAAAUUGUAAUUUUUUUCUCAGGUAAAUAGUUCAGUUCUCAACAGUUUUUCCAGGCCGAGAUCAAGAUAUAGAGGCCUGACCCGGGGCGAUGACAGCUUGUACAGUGGCAAAGUGUUGAGGAGGCGGCUGGUUAUCGUUGCCGAGCGCUGGGGAGGCUGCCGGCGCCAUGGCCGAGCGCUUGGGGGACCGCCAUGGUGGACGAGGGAGAGCAACCAGUAUGGGGGGAGAGAGAGAUGUGCUUCUUUGGUUAGGUCCAUGGCAAGGUUCCAUGAGAUGGCGCCGGAUUUCUGGGAGAAUAUACACGCUGAUUGUGGCUGAGAAGAAGAUUACUUCUCCUACAAUUUUGUAUGUUGCGUGAGAGGGUAGAACAUAGAGGAGAAAUGUGGGGCAAUUUGGUUGCUAUGCUUUGUGAGCCGCCGCUUUACUUUUGUACAAAGAGACGCUUCAUGUGCGGCUGCUAUGUGGUGUUCUAUGCUCUGCUGUGUGCUCUGCUUGUGGAAAUUUGUACAUGGCAAUACAUAGAUUGGGAUUGAGAUUUGGAGCAAUUUGGUUGGUUUUUCUUUGUA